rnacentral:rRNA from 1 species
AUUGAACGCUGGCGGCAUGCCUUACACAUGCAAGUCGAACGGUAACGGGCCUUCGGGCGCCGACGAGUGGCGAACGGGCGAGUAAUGCAUCGGAACGUACCUUUCAGUGGGGGAUAACGUAGCGAAAGUUACGCUAAUACCGCAUAUUCUGUGAGCAGGAAAGCAGGGGAUCGCAAGACCUUGCGCUGAUUGAGCGGCCGAUGUCAGAUUAGCUAGUUGGUGAGGUAAAGGCUCACCAAGGCGACGAUCUGUAGCGGGUCUGAGAGGAUGAUCCGCCACGCUGGAACUGAGACACGGUCCAGACUCCUACGGGAGGCAGCAGUGGGGAAUUUUGGACAAUGGGGGCAACCCUGAUCCAGCCAUGCCGCGUGAGUGAAGAAGGCCUUCGGGUUGUAAAGCUCUUUCGGCCGGGAAGAAAUCGUAUGGGUUAAUACCCUGUGCGGAUGACGGUACCGGCAUAAGAAGCACCGGCUAACUACGUGCCAGCCGCCGCGGUAA